ACUUAAAUUGAAGAGUUUGAUCAUGGCUCAGAUUGAACGCUGGCGGCAGGCCUAACACAUGCAAGUCGAGCGGUAGCACAGAGAGCUUGCUCUCGGGUGACGAGCGGCGGACGGGUGAGUAAUGUCUGGGAAACUGCCUGAUGGAGGGGGAUAACUACUGGAAACGGUAGCUAAUACCGCAUAACGUCGCAAGACCAAAGUGGGGGACCUUCGGGCCUCAUGCCAUCAGAUGUGCCCAGAUGGGAUUAGCUAGUAGGUGGGGUAACGGCUCACCUAGGCGACGAUCCCUAGCUGGUCUGAGAGGAUGACCAGCCACACUGGAACUGAGACACGGUCCAGACUCCUACGGGAGGCAGCAGUGGGGAAUAUUGCACAAUGGGCGCAAGCCUGAUGCAGCCAUGCCGCGUGUGUGAAGAAGGCCUUCGGGUUGUAAAGCACUUUCAGCGGGGAGGAAGGCGUUAAGGUUAAUAACCUCAUCGAUUGACGUUACCCGCAGAAGAAGCACCGGCUAACUCCGUGCCAGCAGCCGCGGUAAUACGGAGGGUGCAAGCGUUAAUCGGAAUUACUGGGCGUAAAGCGCACGCAGGCGGUCUGUCAAGUCGGAUGUGAAAUCCCCGGGCUCAACCUGGGAACUGCAUUCGAAACUGGCAGGCUAGAGUCUUGUAGAGGGGGGUAGAAUUCCAGGUGUAGCGGUGAAAUGCGUAGAGAUCUGGAGGAAUACCGGUGGCGAAGGCGGCCCCCUGGACAAAGACUGACGCUCAGGUGCGAAAGCGUGGGGAGCAAACAGGAUUAGAUACCCUGGUAGUCCACGCCGUAAACGAUGUCGAUUUGGAGGUUGUGCCCUUGAGGCGUGGCUUCCGGAGCUAACGCGUUAAAUCGACCGCCUGGGGAGUACGGCCGCAAGGUUAAAACUCAAAUGAAUUGACGGGGGCCCGCACAAGCGGUGGAGCAUGUGGUUUAAUUCGAUGCAACGCGAAGAACCUUACCUGGUCUUGACAUCCACAGAACUUAGCAGAGAUGCUUUGGUGCCUUCGGGAACUGUGAGACAGGUGCUGCAUGGCUGUCGUCAGCUCGUGUUGUGAAAUGUUGGGUUAAGUCCCGCAACGAGCGCAACCCUUAUCCUUUGUUGCCAGCGGUUCGGCCGGGAACUCAAAGGAGACUGCCAGUGAUAAACUGGAGGAAGGUGGGGAUGACGUCAAGUCAUCAUGGCCCUUACGACCAGGGCUACACACGUGCUACAAUGGCAUAUACAAAGAGAAGCGACCUCGCGAGAGCAAGCGGACCUCAUAAAGUAUGUCGUAGUCCGGAUUGGAGUCUGCAACUCGACUCCAUGAAGUCGGAAUCGCUAGUAAUCGUAGAUCAGAAUGCUACGGUGAAUACGUUCCCGGGCCUUGUACACACCGCCCGUCACACCAUGGGAGUGGGUUGCAAAAGAAGUAGGUAGCUUAACCUUCGGGAGGGCGCUUACCACUUUGUGAUUCAUGACUGGGGUGAAGUCGUAACAAGGUAACCGUAGGGGAACCUGCGGUUGGAUCACCUCCUUACCUUAAAGAA
rnacentral:rRNA from 1 species